AGUAACACUCGUACAUCUACGAUUUCCCUUCUUAGCAACUUUUCUAUCUCGUUCGUUUGGUUCGAUUAACUCCUUCCUACUUUCCUCGCUGACUUCAUCCUCCAAAGAAACUCAAUCCCUCAAUUGGUUCGUAUGCUUACGAAGUACAGAUUAUACAACCAUGGCCAAAGCUAUUGAUAUACUUGAAGGUGAAAAAUACAUGUAACUAGGUUAUUAUACCCCAUCAAUAAUACAUAAACUUAUGUCUGGAAGAUUUGCAAGGGUUGAAAUAUUGUCAACCUUUUAAGGAUGCUAUAUUUGCUAGUAUUAAAAAAGUUUAAUGAUCUUUAUGAUAAUGAUAAAAUUAUUGCUGCAAUUCUUCAUCCUAUUUAAAACUGAAUGGCCUUGGAUAAGGCAAGAAAGGAAUAGAGCAAAAAAGAAGGAAAUUUUAAGUUUAAUAAAUACUCUAAUACCUCAAGGUGAAUUAGACAAAUGAAUCAUGUCCAAAACCAACAUCAUUUGAUGUAGUUGGAUUUUUUAACUUAAAGUGAUAAAUAUUGUUGAUAAUGAAUAUGUAGAAAAUUUUAUAAAAUCCAAUAACACAUUAUCUUUAUAUGAUGAUUUCCCCCCAAAAAAUUACUUUUUAUUAAAUAUAAUGUCCUUAUAUCAAGCGGCAGAGGGUUUAUUUAUAGGGAAGCUCAUAUAUUUUUAUUUCAAUGCAAAUAUAUAUAUUCUAUUUUCCGAUAUUUUUUUCGGUUUAAUUAUUUUUUUAUAUAAAUAAAUUGUACAUUUUUUAAAAUAAUUUAUAAUUUUGUAUAUCCUA